rnacentral:rRNA from 1 species
AGAACGAACGCUGGCGGCAGGCCUAAACAUGCAAGUCGAACGCUCUAGCAAUAGAGAGUGGCGCACGGGUGCGUAACAUGUGGGAAUAUGCCUUUUGGUACGGAACAACUUUUGGAAACGAAAGCUAAUACCGUAUGGUCCCUUCGGGGUAAAGAUUUAUCGCCAAAAGAGUAGCCCGCACUGGAUUAGCUAGUUGGUAAGGUAAUGGCUUACCAAGGCGACGAUCCAUAGCUGGUCUGAGAGGACGAUCAGCCACACUGGGGCUGAGACACGGCCCAGACUCCUACGGGAGGCAGCAGUUAGGAAUCUUGGACAAUGGACGCAAGUCUGAUCCAGCCAUGCCGCGUGAGUGAUGAAGGCCUUCGGGUUGUAAAGCUCUUUAGCCGACGAAUAUAAUGACUGUAGUCGGAGAAUAAGCCCCGGCUAACUUCGUGCCAGCAGCCGC